CUUCGCUUAGCCUGGAGAGCCUGCCUCACCUCAUACCCCCACAUUCACUUCCACUGAUCUGAAAACCCGAAAAGCGGUAAAGGCAACCAUAUGGAUGUCUACUCUGAAUUAGUUUUCCAGUUAUUUCAAGUCUGUUCAGGACUGAGAGGGCUUUCCAGAGUCGCCGACUAAUGGGGCCGAGAGAAAGAGAGAAGACAGAAGAAAUAGCAGGCUGUGUUUCUGGGGAUGCUAGGUCGUCUGUGGACGUGCCACAGGUAGUGAGCCUGCCGAUGUUCUUUGGUGGGGAAAUUCUGCUCGGUAACCCGUCGUCACAGCAGAGGCCCUGCGCAGUGAUUGGAGGAGAGCCUUUGCCUGGAGGGAGGCUCGUUCUAUGACUGUGGUGCAUUUUUUAUCGCCGCCCCCACCUCCCCCCGUCCCCCUUUCCCAAGCCAGACUAAACAGAGCUAGUGCUUUGAAGAAAGCCGCUGUUGCAGAAUAACAGCGGCUCAUUUCUUCCUCUGUCUCCCUCUCCCUUUGCCACUUCUCACCUCUCUGUUGUCCGACUUCUAUUGUCUCUUCCUUGGCUCUCAUUUUUCUCAGUCUCUCUUUGUCUUGCUAUCUGCCAUCACAUCUUCCGUCCUGUCUCUCUCCAUAUCUCUCUUUCUCCCUCCCUAUUCCAUUUGGGUGUCCUCGGGUCUCGUCCAGCAGAGACUUUUAUAGAAUUACAAGUUGUG
ensembl:lncRNA